CCUACGGGUGGCAGCAGUGAGGAAUAUUGGUCAAUGGACGCAAGUCUGAACCAGCCAUGCCGCGUGCAGGAUGACGGCUCUAUGAGUUGUAAACUGCUUUUGUACGAGGGUAAACCCCGAUACGUGUAUCGGGUUGAAAGUAUCGUACGAACAAGGAUCGGCUAACUCCGUGCCAUCAGCCGCGGUAAUACGGAGGAUCCGAGCGUUAUCCGGAUUUAUUGGGUGUAAAGGGUGCGUAGGCGGUUUGAUAAGUUAGAGGUGAAAUACCGGGGCUCAACAUCGGGGCUGCCGCUGAUACUGUAAGACUAGAGAUCGGAUGCAGCAGGCAGAAUGUGUGGUGUAGCGGUGAAAUGCAUAGAUAUUACACAGAACACCGAUUGCGAAGGCAGCUUGCUAGGCCGGAUCUGACGCUGAUGCACGAAAGCGUGGGGAUCGAACAGGAUUAGAUACCCUGGUAGUC
rnacentral:rRNA from 1 species